CCUACGGGAGGCAGCAGUAAGGAAUAUUGGUCAAUGGACGAAAGUCUGAACCAGCCAUGCCGCGUGAGGGAUUAAGGCCCUCUGGGUUGUAAACUUCUUUUAUCUGGGACGAAAAAAGGGUAUUCUUACUCACUUGACGGUACCAGAGGAAUAAGCACCGGCUAACUCCGUGCCAGCAGCCGCGGUAAUACGGAGGGUGCAAGCGUUAUCCGGAUUUACUGGGUUUAAAGGGUGCGUAGGUGGGCUUGUAAGUCAGUGGUGAAAUCUCCGGGCUUAACCCGGAAACUGCCAUUGAUACUAUAGGUCUUGAAUUAUCUGGAGGUAAGCGGAAUAUGUCAUGUAGCGGUGAAAUGCUUAGAUAUGACAUAGAACACCAAUUGCGAAGGCAGCUUACUACGGAUAUAUUGACACUGAGGCACGAAAGCGUGGGGAUCAAACAGGAUUAGAUACCCUGGUAGUCCACGCCCUAAACGAUGGAUACUCGACAUCAGCGAUACACUGUUGGUGUCUGAGNGAAGANAUAUAUCCACCNGAGAGANGCAGAUAGAAUAAUAGAUAGAGNGNGAGAGNGCGAGACGACGACGAGGAGAGG
rnacentral:rRNA from 1 species